UUCAUGAAAAGUUUUUUUUUUUUUUUGCUAGUUGGUUGAUGGAAAUUAUAUGUAGUUGUUGAACUUGAAGUUUUCUUUUAUUUUUGUGUGAAAUAUUUUUAUAGUAGACUGAUAAUGUUUGGGCAUAUAGUUGAUGAUACUAUGACCUUAGGUUGUUGCUUGAUUAUUCCCCAACUUUUCUAUGAUAUUUUUUUACAUGUGUGCUAAUUGUUAUUGCUUUCCUUAUACCUUG
rnacentral:lncRNA from 1 species